rnacentral:rRNA from 1 species
AGAGUUCGAUUAUGGCUCAGGACGAACGCUGGCGGCGCGCUUAACACAUGCAAGUCGAACGGAGUUUGUUUUCGGAAGCCUUCGGGUGGAAGAGGAUAAACUUAGUGGCGAACGGGUGAGUAACGCGUGAGCAACCGGUCCCAAAGAGGGGGACAACUUUGAGAAAUCAAGGCUAAUACCGCGUAAGACCACACUGCCGCAUGGCAGAGGGGUCAAAGGAGAAAUCCGCUUUGGGGAGGGCUCGCGUCCCAUUAGGUAGUUGGUGAGGUAACGGCUCACCAAGCCGACGAUGGGUAGCCGUGCUGAGAGGCAGGCCGGCCACACUGGAACUGAGACACGGUCCAG